rnacentral:ribozyme from 1 species
UGCCCAGUAACUCCUAUUCCUACCUCUUCGUGGUACUGGCCAGGGUACGAAUAACCUUGGAGCAGAUCGGGUAACCAACACCGGUGGGAAAUUUGGUCGUAUGCUGACAGGGAAGG